GAUGAACGCUGGCGGCGUGCCUAAGACAUGCAAGUCGAGUGGUUAACCUCGGUUAACCACGGCGAACGGGUGAGUAAUACCUAGGAACGUUCCUUUAGUUGGGCAUAACCCGCCGAAAGGCGGGAUAAUUCCCGAUGUGACCGCAAGGUUAAAGUCGCAAGACGCUAAAGGUGCGGCCUGGGCACCAUCAGCUUGUUGGUAAGGUAAUGGCUUACCAAGGCUAUGACGGUUA
rnacentral:rRNA from 1 species